rnacentral:tmRNA from 3 species
GGGGCUGAUUCUGGAUUCGACGGGAUUUGCGAAACCCAAGGUGCAUGCCGAGGGGCGGUUGGCCUCGUAAAAAGCCGCAAAAAAAUAGUCGCAAACGACGAAAACUACGCUUUAGCAGCUUAAUAAC